rnacentral:lncRNA from 1 species
GGGCUGAGAAACCUAGGCAGAUAACAUCUCCUUAUUUCUUAACACUCUCUUAGAAAAUUAAAAGGACUUUGUAGAAAAUCCUUUUGACUGAUGGAGUAGCUCCGAGGAACAGAGAAAGACAGAUUAACAAGAUGAAAGACCAGGAGCCAGAGGACCCAGACCAGGAGCCAGAAGACCCAGAUGCUUUGAGGGCAACAUCUUCCUUUUGUUGGAAAUAAUUAAGUGGUUCCUCUUAUUAGGUCAUGAGUGAGGUAUUGAACACUCCAGCAGUAAUCUGCACAGACCUCCAUUCUUCCAGACCUCCCUGCCAACAAUUCCGUAAGCACUCAAUUCCAGUAAAAUCCUUCUUCUGUUUAAAAUGCCUAGAAAAUUUUCUAUUUUCCUGACCAGCUUUGACUGAUACAAACAGAAAAUGUGGUGCCAGGUCCUGCAACCAUCAUCUUGCAGACAAUCCUUUCACAAUAUUCCAACAUGCUGAGGAUUCCGAGACAGAAAGACAACAGAUUCUCAGACGAUGUCAUUGAGCCACUGCCCCAGAUCCCGACAGCAUCGCGUUUUCACUGCUUUUUAGAACAUUUACUGGUGAUGAGAGACUCUAAAGAAGUCACAGCUUGCUUCCUUUCUGAAGAACGUUGUGAUUUUGGCUCACGUGCAGUGCACGACAACUCUUCUCCAACAGCAUGACAUAGUCCACUGUCUCAGGAUCCCAUUUUUCCACCAGCUGCAGAGCAGGAAGGGACAAAUCAAAGUGUGAGCAUUCGGAUCACCAACGCUGUGACCUCGCUGUGUGAACGGGAGCUACUACAGGAAGGAAGCUUACAAAUGAGCUGCAUGGAUCCCACAUUUUGCUAAAAUCAAAUAGGACCUUUCUCCUCUUUGUUGAAUGCCGUAAUACACAAGAAAUAAGCCAGCAGGAUGCUCAUGUCCAAGGUUUCCCUUUAUCUACCACACGAGUUGGCAUGAAACAACUUCUGGGGUUCAAAUCUUCUGAACAAUGAUACAAGUCUUGGCAAAUUUCAAGAAUAAUUUAAAGAGGAAAUAAAUAGCUUUUUGUUUAACUUGGAUCAAUUAUCUCCUAUUGCUCCCAGCUUCAUGCCAGGUACUCUCCACUGUGCCUGGGAAAUAUGAAUCCCUGCCCUCAUGAAAAAACAUUGGCCAUGAGGAUUUUCCCUACAACCCAAGAACUAUUUGAAGUUUGAAGUCUUUCAGCCCAGACAACACUGGCUAUUUUCACCUUUGCCUUCAACUAUAAAGGCUGGGCUCUCUCUGCAGGAGUGGGUUACUGCUGGCAGAACAGAGAAAGAGAGAGAGCAGGAGAGAGAGAGACAGACAGAAUCCACUAGUAGAAUAAGCCAUGAUCACCACUCAAAACUUGUAAGUUUACUUCUUUGCUAAUAGAUAUUGGAAUCAUUAAGUUUGCUCUUAAAAAAGUAUUUUUGUUUUGUUUUGUUUUUUCAGUUGCUACUACUUGAUCAGUACCUGGAAUUCUGAGGAAAACCCUAUUAGAGAUUGCAAAUCCAGUAAAUAAAGGCAGCAGUGGUACCUUGUUAAAAACAUCAAAUCCAAAGUGCUCUGAGGAGGAAUAUGUACGGUGUGUUCUAGGGACAGAAAAUAAGACAAACGUGGCUGGAGUAUUGGAAGGGGAAGUGAGUGUUACUAGAGAAGGUCAUGAGGUGAGGCGGGCCAGAUCAUAUGGGUCUGUGUAAGCUAUGGCAAGGAGUGUGGAUUUUAUUCCAAGUAAGAUGGAAAGCCUUUAUGAAGUUUUAAAAACGGCAGUGUUAUGAUUUGUAACAUCUGAGUUUAUGUUUACAUCGUGGCCAAAUUAUUUUAUAAAAUAAUGUAAUAAUGGUUCAACAGUUUGAUUGUGUUGCCCUUAAAAUUUCACAAGACUUAAAAUUUUCUACACUAUUCAUUUCAGUAUUGACUGUAAUUUAAUAACUCAAUUAGUAAUGUUAAAUAAAUUAUUUGUUACUACCUAUUGAAAUUAUAUAUAUAUAUACACACACACAUAUCUGUUUAAUAUAAUAUACAUGUGUCUGAUAUAUAUAUAUAUAUUUAUGAAUUAUAUAUGAAAACACUGGCUUUCUUGAUUUCGUCGUCGGAUGUUUUCCUUGAACAUUUACCAAGCCAUUGGUAUUCUAAUGCUAUAGAAACUGGUGUUAAUAACUCUAUUAUAAAAUGUCUAUUGAUAACCUUUAAAUAUUCUUAUAGAAAUAGUCUUUUCAGGGGGCUGGGCAUGGUGGUUCAUGCCUGUAAUCUCAGCACUUUGAGAGGCCAAGGCAGGUGGAUAACCUGAGGUCAGGAGUUCCAGACCUGCCUGGUUAAUGUGGCGAAACCCCAUCUUUACUAAAAAUACAAAAUGUAGCCGGGCAUGUUGGCGAGCACCUCUAAUCCCAGCUACUUGGGAGCCUGAGGCAGAAGAAUCACUUGAACACUGGAGGCAGAGGUUGCAGUGAGCCGAGAUCGUGCCAUUACACUUCAACCUGGG